rnacentral:misc_RNA from 1 species
AUGACAAAGUCACAGUCCAAAGAAGACCUCAUCGGCUCCAAAGAGCAGCUGCGCGGCGACAGGAAAUCUUUCGUUUUACCGCCGGAAUAUGUGCUGUCGCCCACCGAGAAAAAGUUCCUGUUGCUCGCCGAGCGAGGAGACUGCGCGUCCGUUCAGAGGUUGCUGGACGAGCACAAAGGUCAGACCGAUAUACUCAACAUCGACUGCACGGAUCCGUUAAACAGAUCGGCGUUAAUAACGGCCAUAGAGAAUGAAAACAUGGACCUGAUACAGUUAUUGCUUAAGGCUGGCAUCAAGGUGAAAGACUCGUUAUUGCACGCCAUCAAGGAAGAGUACGUGGAAGCGGUGGAACUGUUACUGGAAUGGGAGGAAAAGAUACACGUAGCCGGAGAGCCAUAUUCUUGGGAAGCGGUAGAACCAUCGGCGUCUACGUUUACGCCCGACAUAACGCCACUGACGCUAGCAGCCCACAUGAACAACUAUGAAAUAUUAAAGAUUCUUCUGGACAGAGGCGCUUCGCUGCCCAUGCCCCACGACGUCAGGUGUGGUUGUGAUGAGUGCAUCACGUCAAGUACACAAGAUUCAUUGCGUCACUCGCGUUCGAGAAUAAACGCUUACAAAGCGCUUUCUUCCCCAUCUCUCAUAGCUCUGUCGUCAAGAGAUCCACUGUUGACCGCUUUUGAACUGAGUUGGGAGCUUCGCAGGCUUAGCACCAUGGAGUCUGAAUUCAGAAACGAAUAUAACGAGAUGAGGAACACGGUCCAGACAUUUGCAACGUCUCUGUUGGAUCACGUUAGGACUUCGUACGAGCUGGAGAUAAUGUUAAAUCACAAUCCUAAAGGUGACCCGUGGGAACCAGGCGAGCGGCUAACUCUGGAACGUUUGAAAUUGGCCAUUAAAUACAAACAAAAAGCGUUCGUGGCCCAUCCAAAUGUUCAACAAUUAUUGGCCGCCAUCUGGUACGACGGUUUGCCGGGUUUCCGCCGGAAAAGUAUGGUCGGACAAAUGAUUGAAGUCGGCAAACUCGGCGCAAUGUUCGCCAUGUAUGGUUCGAUGUACAUGUUGAAUCCCGAAUCGAAAAUGGGCCAGCUGAUGAAGAAACCGUUUAUAAAAUUCGUCUGCCACUCGUCUUCGUACGCGUUCUUUUUGACGUUGCUAGCGCUCGCGUCUCAGAGAGCUGAGUUUCUGGCGCUCGAAUGGAUCGGAACCGAUUGGACGAAAUCUAUAUUAGAGGAAAUGACCAGGAAAGAGAGAGGAUCCAUACCAGGACCCAUAGAAUUCGGCAUCAUAUUAUACAUCAUAAGUUUGAUAUGGAGAGAAGCGCAUUCGCUGUACUCGAACGGGUUGGUGGAAUACGCGGCCGACUUGUGGAACAUAGUGGACUUCAUCACCAACGUGUUUUAUAUGGUGUGGAUAAGUUUGCGGUUUUCGUCCUGGUACAUAGUGCAGAGAGAAUACAGUCAAGGGUACGAUCCUUGGUUACCACGCGAAGACUGGGACAAAUUCGACCCUCACUUGGUGUCCGAGGGAGCGUUCGCAGCCGCUAUGAUAUUCAGUUUCUUAAAGCUCGUGCACAUAUUCAGCGUGAACCCUCACCUGGGACCGCUUCAGAUAUCGCUGGGUCGUAUGAUCAUCGACAUUAUAAAGUUCUUCUUCAUUUACACUCUGGUGCUGUGCGCUUUCGGCUGCGGUUUAAACCAAUUGCUGUGGUAUUACGCGGACUUGGAAUCGAAAAAAUGUUACCACGACAACAACGACUUACCCGAUUUCGGGAAUGAGGAGAAAGCCUGUUCGACGUGGAGGCGAUUCGCCAACAUAUUUGAAACAUCGCAGUCGCUGUUUUGGGCCGGUUUUGGUCUGGUGGAUUUAACGGCAUUCGAUCUCACAGGAAUUAAAAGCUUUACGAGGUUUUGGGGUCUACUGCUGUUCGGAUCGUACUCGGUGAUCAACAUUAUCGUUUUGCUAAACAUGCUCAUCGCUAUGAUGUCGAAUUCAUAUCAGAUAAUCUCGGAACGGUCCGACAUGGAAUGGAAGUUUGCACGCAGUUCGUUGUGGAUCUCGUAUUUCGAGGACGGGGACACUGUGCCGCUUCCGUUCAAUCUGUUCCCAUCGCUGAAAAACGUCAAACGCAUGAUAGGUCUCGAGCGGACCAAACGGACGUCCGGAUCGAUGAUUUUCAAGUGCAGGGAAAAAGCGCUAGCCCGGCACGACAUUGUUAUGCGGCUGUUGGUGAGACGUUACGUGACCGCGGAACAACGCAAGACCGAAGAAUUCGGCAUAACAGAGGAUGACGUGAUGGAAAUACGACAAGACAUAUCGUCAAUGAGAUUCGAGAUGGUUGACAUAUUCAGACAGAAUGGAUACAAGACGCCCAAAAAGGAACACGAUUCGAAUGUCGCUCAAGGCAAGAAAGGUCGGGUAAUGGAACGCAGACUGCUGAAAGAUUUCCAAAUCGGUCUGGUAGAGGGGCUGAUACAGGACGCGAUUUCGUCAAACGAUAAGGGUCCGAAGGACGUGUUCAGCAAGAUCGCUAAGGCGAUUGGGCGACGAACCAGCCAAGGCAGCAAGAAAAAGGACUGGAACGCUAUGGUGCGGCAGAAGAGCGUAAUCAGGGACCCGAUCGGCAGCACGGCCGAAGGCGCGGAACGACGGCACCGGCAGAGCGUUCGCCGAUACAUCCUAGACCACCAGAAGGACAGCCUGAUGUCGAUGGACGCGAAUAAGCUGGUCGAGUAUAACCCGCUGCUGGCGGAGAUCGCGCCAGCAGCCCGGGUGGCAUACGCAAAGUUUAAGAUACCGAAGAUUAAGCAAGAGUACGAGGAGAACACGAUAGGCGCGGACGAAGUGUUCGAAAACGCGCCCUCCGUGAACGUGGUGGACGAGACCAAGACGAAGGGAUCGAUUGCGCGGCCGAGGCCGAAGAGCACGCGGAAAGCGCCGGUGGCGGGGGCGCUGCCUUAUCCGUCAACGGCGGGCCCGGUGAACAAGGGAGAAGACACGGGAAAACCAGCGAGUGCGACGCCGCAGCCGCAGGUGGAGAUCGGAGACGUUGCAAAGCCGCUGGCGAAAGAGUUGGAACAACACAAGUCCGCGGAGACAUCGAAGGAUGUGGAAGUGCCGCGACCAUCCACGUCUGGUUCCGGUGCUAUCGGAUCCGGAAGGGAUGGAGGGUCCGCGAAGGAAGUAAGUAAAGUGGACCGGGAAAAAGAUGCGGAUAAAGCGAAGCACGUCAGUGGCGAAGCGAAGGACGAUGACGACGAAAAGGGUGCAGGUGGUGGAGCGAAAGAUGCGGACAAAGAAAAGGACACAGACGAGUCAAAAGACGUGGAUAAUGCUAAGGAUGCUGAGAAGUCGAAAGAUGCGGGUAAAUCAAAAGCCUCGGGCAAAGACAAAGACGAUAAACAUUUGAAACCAGAAUCACCGAAACGAUCGGCUAGCCCGAAAAAACCCGGUGGAAAAUCGAAAGUCACUGGAGAAAUACUGACCGGUUGGUUAUAAAAUCGGCCGCAAUCGCCUGUUCUUCUUAUGGAAUUAAAAAGAUAAAUAUAAAAUAUGGCAUGGGUAUUUCUUGAAAAUUCAUUAAUUUCAUUUGGCCGGGACAUCAUCAGUAGCCAAACCGUUUGAAAUUAGUAAAUGUUCACGAGACACUCGAUGAUUAUAAUAUUAA